rnacentral:rRNA from 1 species
UACGGAGGGUGCGAGCGUUGUUCGGAAUCACUGGGCGUAAAGCGCGUGUAGGCGGCUUCUUAAGUCUGGUGUGAAAUCCCGGGGCUCACCCCCGGAAGUGCACUGGAUACUGGGAAGCUCGAGUACCGGAGAGGAGGGUGGAAUUCCUGGUGUAGCGGUGAAAUGCGCAGAUAUCAGGAGGAACACCGGUGGCGAAGGCGGGUCUCUGGGCCGAAACUGACGCUGAGGAGCGAAAGCGUGGGGAGCGAACAGG